CCACCCCCACCUCGAAAACCCCCCGGGGUCGGUGGGGUGGCCGUCCCCGAGGGAGGGACCCCAGCAUUAUCCGCCGCCGUCCAAUGUGUGGGACUCUGUCUGAAACAAUGCAAAUCGAAAAGGAUUCAAAACUUUCAACAACGGAUCUCUUGGUUCUCGCAUCGAUGAAGAACGCAGCCAAAUGCGAUAAGUAGUGUGAAUUGCAGAAUUCAGUGAAUCAUCGAAUCUUUGAACGCACAUUGCGCCCUCCGGUACUCCGUUGGGCAUGCCUGUCCGAACGAGCGCGAAGGAGAAUUUCCGUGGCAACCUUGCGUGCCGUGGGCCCUGGAGGACGGCCGGACCGUGACCGACCACCUCCGAAAUGCAUCGGCUGACUGCGAGCCACCCCCCGUGUUAUAACCGCUCGACGAUUCACGUGGUGGAGCCCCGCAAGUCACGCCGCCCGAACCCCCAGUUCAGCCAAGCGAGUUCUCUUCGGAUCAGGUAGGGGUACCCGCUGAACUUAAGCAUAUCAAUAAGCGGAGGAAA
rnacentral:sRNA from 1 species